UACGUAGGGCGCGAGCGUUGUCCGGAAUUAUUGGGCGUAAAGAGCUCGUAGGUGGCUUGUCGCGUCGGGUGUGAAAGCGUGGGGCUUAACUCCAUGUCUGCAUUCGAUACUGGGCGGCUAGAGUCUGGCAGGGGGAUCUGGAAUUCCUGGUGUAGCGGUGGAAUGCGCAGAUAUCAGGAGGAACACCGGUGGCGAAGGCGGGAUCCUGGGCCAGUACUGACGCUGAGGAGCGAAAGCGUGGGGAGCAAACAGG
rnacentral:rRNA from 1 species